AAUAACAAUAUACACCCGGUUUGACACACACGCACGUCCGAGCGCGACUCGGUGUGGGAACCGCCGAGAAAUCCGGUCCCGUUCCGGCGCAGUCUUCGUUUCGUCUAUGGUCCGGGUCGGUCGUUGGCAGGAGAUAUAAUAUGGCCCGUAACCAGUCUGACAAGUACCGAUCGCACGUAGAACAACGGCACACUUGUACGGGCGCAACAACACGGAAAACAAUCGCAGAGAUCAGAACCUACUAAUUUAAACACACCUAAAUGCAGUGUCGAGAAAGUAGCUGUGAAUGUUACAAUGAAAUUCAUUGGGUUCCAGAAUAACUUUGAUGAUGUUCAAACAUUAAAAUAACCGAUUAUAAUAAUAUUAUUAAUACGAUUGUCAUUUCUUAAGCAUUACUAUUUAAUUUAUAGUUUAUUUCAAUAAAAAUGUAUAGUAUAUUGUA